rnacentral:rRNA from 1 species
UGCGUAGGUGGCAGAACAAGUCUGGAGUAAAAGGUAUGGGCUCAACCCGUACUGGCUCUGGAAACUGUUCAGCUAGAGAACAGAAGAGGACGGCGGAACUCCAUGUGUAGCGGUAAAAUGCGUAGAUAUAUGGAAGAACACCGGUGGCGAAGGCGGCCGUCUGGUCUGUUGCUGACACUGAAGCACGAAAGCGUGGGGAGCAAACA